AGAUGCAUUAGGUGCCCUUUUGGGAAAGUUGAGACAGGUGGUGCAUGGUUGUCGUCAGCUCGUGUCGUGAGAUGUUGGGUUAAGUCCCGCAACGAGCGCAACCCUUGUCAUUAGUUGCUACGCAAGAGCACUCUAAUGAGACUGCCGUUGACAAAACGGAGGAAGGUGGGGACGACGUCAAAUCAUCAUGCCCCUUAUGACCUGGGCUACACACGUACUACAAUGGCCGUAAACAGAGGGAUGCAAUACCGCGAGGUGGAGCCAAACCCUAAAAACGGUCCCAGUUCGGAUUGUAGGCUGAAACUCGCCUACAUGAAGUUGGAAUUGCUAGUAAUCGCGGAUCAGCAUGCCGCGGUGAAUACGUUCCCGGGCCUUGUACACACCGCCCGUCACACCAUGGGAGCCGGUAAUACCCGAAGCCAGUAGUCUAACCGGAAACGGAGGACGCUGUCGAAGGUAGGAUUGGCGACUGGGGUGAAGUCGUAACAAGGUAGCCGUAUCGG
rnacentral:rRNA from 1 species